rnacentral:lncRNA from 1 species
AUUAAUUUAACGUAAAGUUUAAUUCAUAAAGUUUAUGUUUAAAGUUUAAUUUAACGUAAAGUUUAUAUUAUUAAAGUUUAUUAUUUUUGUAAAUUUAACAUAAUUGUUUAUCAUAAAUUAAUAAUAUAAUCAAUUAUCUUUGUCCAUUUAACAUAAUAUAUAAAACACGUGAAUAAUUUAGUAAUCAAUAUAUUUGUUAAUUUAACGAAGUUAUGAUUUAGUAAUUUAUAUAGUUAUAAAAUAAAUAAAUAAAUAAAUAAUUUUUUUAAAUAAAUAAAUUGUCAAAAAUCGAAAAAAUGAAUAAAAUAAUAUAGGGCUGUUCAUUUGGUGUAAUGGUCGGACAAGAAUUUUGGUUUGGUGUAUAAUGGUGCAAAUUUUGGUGCAGUUGGAGAUGGCCUAAGCCAUCUUAGCUGAGCCAGAAAGUCUCUGAAAAUACAAACAAGAACCUAUUGUACUCCUCAUGAAACAAUUAAAGCAGAAUUCAAGCAGCAAAUCACACAUUGAGCAAAAAUAAAAGCUUCUAAAGUAAAUCAAGGUGAAUAAAGAAUAACCCAACAAAACUUUCAUAUUUCAGACAGAAGACAAUAAAAGGCAAGGUCUUGAAUAAAACUAAAGAAACUAACAAAAAAAUCCACAAAAUAGAAAAAAGGUAGCAAAAUCUAAAUCUUUUCAGCUAGGUCGAGCAAAACUAAAGAAAAACCAAAAGCUACCAACAAUGACGGUCCUUACCGAGACCUUUCUCCAAUUUAAAUAAAUAAGUAAACAACCAGUUAAAUGUGAAACCUCUGCCUUAAGAUGAAUAUGAUAUGGGAAUCCUCUCUUUUAAUGUAGAGUUAGGAAAAACGACGACGAAGAAGAAGAAGAAAAUGAACUGGAUAAAGAAUACCGCAGCCUCAUACUUCACUAAAGGCCACUAAACUUCCUCCCCAAUUCGAUCGAAAAUUGCUGGAACUUUAUCCCCUUCUUUCAACUAAACUAAAAUAAAAUUCCCGUUUUCAAGCUUAUCACUCAAAAUAAAUAAAAAAGAAGAGAAAGAAGAAAAUGGACUGGAUCCGUGCUAUUGCACCUUUCUUCUUCCUUUUUUGGGAUUUGGUCGAGAGAGGAGCUCGCAAAAACAGAGGACUCGUGGGGUGUGAGAGAGAGAGAGCAAAAGCCAAUUUUAUACGAGAGAUAUUUAGAGGAACUAGUUCAUGAACAGUAACUAAAGGAUUAUAGUGUGAAAAGGAGGGCUUCACAAAUAAACAGUGAUCUUGGGAUUGUCUCUUUAAGAGAAGGUAGAUUUAGAAUGACUCAGUCUUCCAUUAUGUCUUCCACGACUACUAAAUUCAAGAAAUUUCUCUCAUUUGUAUCUUCAUGGAACUGAUUUUCAUAGAAGGCUAAUAUCAACAACAAAAAGGGCAAAACAUUAACAAGACUAUAUUCUUUCUG